UACGAAGGGGGCUAGCGUUGCUCGGAAUCACUGGGCGUAAAGCGCACGUAGGCGGAUUGCUAAGUCAGGGGUGAAAUCCUGGAGCUCAACUCCAGAACUGCCUUUGAUACUGGCGAUCUUGAGUCCGGGAGAGGUGAGUGGAACUGCGAGUGCAGAGGUGAAAUUCGUAGAUAUUCGCAAGAACACCGGUGGCGAAGGCGGCCAACUGGACCAUUACUGACGCUGAGGCGCGAAAGCGUGGGGAGCAAACAGG
rnacentral:rRNA from 1 species